rnacentral:rRNA from 1 species
CUGACUGACCGAUAGUGAACCAGUACCGUGAGGGAAAGGCGAAAAGAACCCCGGCGAGGGGAGUGAAAAAGAACCUGAAACCGUGUACGUACAAGCAGUGGGAGCACAGGUUUACCUGUGUGACUGCGUACCUUUUGUAUAAUGGGUCAGCGACUUAUAUUCUGUAGCAAGGUUAACCGAAUAGGGGAGCCGGAGGGAAACCGAGUCUUAAUUGGGCGUUAAGUUGCAGGGUAUAGACCCGAAACCCGGUGAUCUAGCCAUGGGCAGGUUGAAGGUUGGGUAACACUAACUGGAGGACCGAACCGACUAAUGUUGAAAAAUUAGCGGAUGACCUGUGGCUGGGGGUGAAAGGCCAAUCAAACCGGGAGAUAGCUGGUUCUCCCCGAAAGCUAUUUAGGUAGCGCCUCGUGAAUUCAUCUCCGGGGGUAGAGCACUGUUUCGGCUAGGGGGCCAUCCCGGCUUACCAACCCGAUGCAAACUGCGAAUACCGGAGAAUGUUAUCACGGGAGACACACGGCGGGUGCUAACGUCCGUCGUGAAGAGGGAAACAACCCAGACCGCCAGCUAAGGUCCCAAAGUCAUGGUUAAGUGGGAAACGAUGUGGGAAGGCCCAGACAGCCAGGAUGUUGGCUUAGAAGCAGCCAUCAUUUAAAGAAAGCGUAAUAGCUCACUGGUCGAGUCGGCCUGCGCGGAAGAUGUAACGGGGCUAAACCAUGCACCGAAGCUGCGGCAGCGAACGUAUCACUUAAAGCGAUUCAGCGGGUUACGAUUGACGGAGCGAAGCGACGUCAAAGCGUAUA